rnacentral:rRNA from 1 species
AAUAAGCGGAGGAAAAGAAACUAACAAGGAUUCCCCUAGUAACGGCGAGUGAAGCGGGAAAAGCUCAAAUUUGAAAUCUGGCAGCCUCAGGUUGCCCGAGUUGUAAUCUAUAGAAACGUUUUCCGCGUUGGCCCAUGUACAAGUCUCCUGGAAUGGAGCGUCAUAGAGGGUGAGAAUCCCGUCCUUGACAUGGACUACCAGUGCUUUGUGAUACGUUUUCAAAGAGUCGAGUUGUUUGGGAAUGCAGCUCAAAAUGGGUGGUAAAUUCCAUCUAAAGCUAAAUAUUGGCGAGAGACCGAUAGCGAACAAGUACCGUGAGGGAAAGAUGAAAAGCACUUUGGAAAGAGAGUUAAACAGUAUGUGAAAUUGUUGAAAGGGAAACGAUUGAAGUCAGUCAUGUCUAUUGGACUCAGCCGGUUCUGCCGGUGUACUUCCUUUAGAUGGGGUCAACAUCAGUUUUGAUCGCUGGAAAAGGGCAGGAGGAAUGUAGCACUCUCGGGUGAACUUAUAGCCUUCUGUCGUAUACAGUGGUUGGGACUGAGGAACGCAGCAUGCCUUUAUGGCCGGGGUUCGCCCACGUACAUGCUUAGGAUGUUGACAUAAUGGCUUUAAACGACCC